CUUAAUAGAGUAUUGUGCAAACUCUAGACGAAAAGAAUGAGGCGACGGAGAGGCAAUGGGGAGUCUGUAAUGGUCGUUGCCCUCUCUCUGUUUUUUUCGCCGAUGAUUUCCUUUUCUGUUUUGCACCAAAUGCGGUAUAAUAAACCACCAUUGUUGAAAAUGGUUCAAUACAUAGAUUGCCCCUUAAACUUGCGCAAAGUCCCUUUUACAGUUUAGGGUUUAAUAUCUGAACCCAUACCACUUGCUUCUUCUGCUUCUCCAACUUCUUUUUCUCCUCCUUAAUGUGACGGAUGAGAGGCUGUGAUGAUUAAAGAUGUUUGGGUCGGGCAUUGGAGCGGCCCGUAUCUUGGCGGGGCGACCCGGAAUUCAUCUAUGUGAUGCAACUGAGGUCUGCAGCCAUGGCGAUCCUUGUCUCCUUUGCCUGAUUUUUUAUCAUCCGAGCCUCAAAAUUUUGAUCAAUUUUUGGAAAAACUGCUAUAUUACCCUCUGAAUUAGAUUAGCCAGAAAUGGCGAGAAUGAGGCGACAGAGAGAGUAUGGGAUUUUUUUUCAAGGGUGGUUGCCCCUCUCUGCUGUGUCUAUGAUUCUCCCUUUUUGUAACAAACCAACAGCCCUUAAAAAAGGAAAGAGAGAAAGAUAGAUGAUAACACUUCAGUUUCUGGAUUUGUUUGCAGUUUGCAUAUUAUUCAAAGACCCAAUACACACACAAUUAUUCUACAACAACUACGGGACCUCAGAUCUUAAUGAGGCAGUGAUGAUGAUUUUUUCUCUAUCUGGGGUAACUAAUUCAGGCAUGGAGAUUAUCCGACCCGUAUCUCGGCGUGGCAACCGAUAUGGUCUGUGAUUGAGAUUCUUCUCACUCACAUGCAACUGGUUUUUUGCAGCCAUGGCGUGGUUGGCUUCUCUUUUGCCUUUGUCAGACACACAUAUCUGAGCCUCAAUUUGGUGAAGAAAAUAUCAAUCUUUUAGAUUUUAUUGAUGUGGGAUAUAUCGAACCCACGCCCUUUUAAGUUCUAAUGCUUUUUUGAGCUGUGAAGUAUAGCCAUUGUUUUCUAUCAGUAGCAGCUCAAGAAUGAGGCAUUAGAGUGAAAUGUGGGAUUUUUUGUAACGGUGGUUGCCCUCCUUCUCUGGUGCUUUUGCAUUAUUUCUACACCAUAAAUAGAAACUGGAUUCUCAACUCAAGAACAAGAAUGAGGCUGCAUACAGAUGGAAAGUUUUUAAGGGUGUUGCCUUCCAUCUGCAUGCCCAUGAUAUUUCUGUAUUCUGCUACUGUCAAAGCAACAGCCCUUCUUUCAUGCUUAGCUGGCGCUCUAAUGGUUGUGAUGAUAAAGCUUCUUGAUUUUAUUGGAUUUGGGUCACUGGACCUGUAUCUUGGCAGUGCAAACCAGGAUGACUUAAGCAGAGUCUUAUUUUUCUAGCAAGCAUUCUUGUUUGCAGCCAUGGCGGUGUCCCUUUCCUUUACCUGAUCUUAUGACAGAUCUAAGCCUACUUAUGUACAUGGAAAUAGCUUUUAGAUUUGCCUUGAGAAAGAGAAGACAAUGGUGAAAAAAGUGAAAACUA